UGUUCUUGAUUCAUGCGUAGUUAUUUCAUAGAUAGAUCUUUAAUGGAUUAUGAUUAUUGAUAUAUGGAUUGCUUUAGUAUUUGAUUCGUCGUAGACGUAGAAAGCACGACGGAUGCUUAGAAAUUGAGUUCAUAUGUUCAUGAAACAUAUACUAUGAUUAUAUCUAUCCUACAUUUAAUCUUUAAUCAAGAACCAUAGAGUUUAUUCCUUGGAUGCAAUAUCAUCAAGGGAGAUUCCAGAUCCCUACCAUCUUUAUU
rnacentral:lncRNA from 1 species